rnacentral:rRNA from 2 species
AAUUGAGAGUUUGAUCCUGGCUCAGGACGAACGCUGGAGGCGUGCCUAACACAUGCAAGUCGAACGAGGAUUUUAUUUUAGCUUGCUAAUUUAAAGUUCUAGUGGCGGACGGGUGAGUAACACGUAAGUAACCUGCCCUUUAGGUGGGGAUAACCCCGGGAAACCGGGGCUAAUACCGAAUACGUUCUCUUUCUCGCAUGAGAGAGAGAAGAAAUGGAGCAAUCCACUGAAGGAUGGGCUUGCGUCUGAUUAGCUAGUUGGUGGGGUAAUGGCCUACCAAGGCUACGAUCAGUAGCUGGUCUGAGAGGAUGAACAGCCACACUGGGACUGAGAUACGGCCCAGACUCCUACGGGAGGCAGCAGUGGGGAAUUUUGCGCAAUGGGGGAAACCCUGACGCAGCGACGCCUCGUGAGUGAUGAAGUCUUUCGGGAUGUAAAGCUCUGUCGGCGGGGACGAUUAUGACGGUACCCGCAAAGGAAGCUCCGGCUAACUACGUGCCAGCAGCCGCGGUAAUACGUAGGGAGCGAGCGUUGUCCGGAUUUAUUGGGCGUAAAGCGUGCGUAGGCGGUUCAGUAAGUUAGAUGUUAAAUGCAUGAGCUCAACUCGUGCUCGCGUCUAAAACUGCUGAACUGGAGGAUAGGAGAGGAAAGCGGAACUCACAGUGUAGCGGUGAAAUGCGUAGAUAUUGUGAGGAACACCUGUGGCGAAGGCGGCUUUCUGGACUAUUUCUGACGCUGAGGCACGAAAGCAUGGGGAGCAAACAGGAUUAGAUACCCUGGUAGUCCAUGCUGUAAACGAUGGUCACUAGGUGUGGGAGGUAUCGACCCCUUCCGUGCCGUAGCUAACGCGUUAAGUGACCCGCCUGGGAAGUACGGCCGCAAGGCUAAAACUCAAAGGAAUUGACGGGGGCCCGCACAAGCAGUGGAACAUGUGGUUUAAUUCGACGAUACACGAAGAACCUCACCGAGGUUUGACAUCUCCGGAAUCCCUUAGAGAUAGGGGAGUGCCCGCAAGGGAAUCGGAUGACAGGUGCUGCAUGGUUGUCGUCAGCUCGUGUCGUGAGAUGUUGGGUUAAGUCCCGCAACGAGCGCAACCCCUGUUGUAUGUUACCAGCACGUUAUGGUGGGUACUCACACAAGACUGCCUGUGGAAAGCAGGAGGAAGGUGGGGAUGACGUCAAAUCAUCAUGGCCCUUAUGCCUCGGGCUACACACAUGUUACAAUGGCGCGUACAGAGGGUUGCGAAGCCGCAAGGUGGAGCCAAUCUCAGAAAACGCGUCUCAGUUCGGAUUGCAGGCUGCAACUCGCCUGCAUGAAGCCGGAAUUGCUAGUAAACGCAGAUCAGCUAAGCUGCGUUGAAUACGUUCCCGGGCCUUGUACACACCGCCCGUCACACCAUGAAAGCUGGGGGUACCCGAAGCCGGUGUGCUAACCGUAAGGAUGCAACCGUCUAAGGUAAAAUCAGUGAUUGGGGUGAAGUCGUAACAAGGUAGCCGUACCGGAAGGUGUGGCUGGAUCACCUCCUUUCUA